AUUGAACGCUGGCGGCAUGCCUUACACAUGCAAGUCGAACGGUAACAGGUCUUUCGGGAUGCUGACGAGUGGCGAACGGGUGAGUAAUACAUCGGAACGUGCCUAGUAGUGGGGGAUAACUACUCGAAAGAGUGGCUAAUACCGCAUGAGAUCUAUGGAUGAAAGCAGGGGACCUUCGGGCCUUGUGCUACUAGAGCGGCCGAUGGCAGAUUAGGUAGUUGGUGGGAUAAAAGCUUACCAAGCCUACGAUCUGUAGCUGGUCUGAGAGGACGAUCAGCCACACUGGGACUGAGACACGGCCCAGACUCCUACGGGAGGCAGCAGUGGGGAAUUUUGGACAAUGGGCGCAAGCCUGAUCCAGCAAUGCCGCGUGCAGGAUGAAGGCCUUCGGGUUGUAAACUGCUUUUGUACGGAACGAAAAGUCUUGGGUUAAUACCCUGGGAUCAUGACGGUACCGUAAGAAUAAGCACCGGCUAACUACGUGCCAGCCGCCGCCGUAACAC
rnacentral:rRNA from 1 species